CCCCCACCACUACAUUCUUUCUCCCACUCUCACAACUUUUCUCCCACCAUUAUCACACUCCAUAGAAGCCUUUGAAGCCCCAAGAGAAGUAGCAAAGCAAGGGAGAGUGUGGGAAAACUAUAGAGUGAAGGUUGUGCUUCGAGGGUCCGGGCGACAGAAAGUGAAGCCGAAGAAGAAACGACUCCACGCCAGCUUUAAGAACAAUUGAGGUUGAGCAGGCGAUGGAAUGGAUCGGUGUUGAGCGGAUUUCCCUUUUGAUGUUUAUGUAAUGAAACCUUGAGUAUGCAUCUCCAUAUGCAUAACUCACACGUUUUUUCGCUGCAAACACUCUGACUUAUUUAUCAUUUCUACUUGAACUUAUUACUACUUCAUUUUAAUUAACUUUCAGUUGGGGUCUAGUCGUUAUGGCAGACUCAUUUGUGAAUUACCCAAGUGGUUAUAUAUAUAUACCACUAGUUUGUUAUUAA